CGUCAUAUCACAUUGAAACACUUGCUCCUAUACUAUCACUGAAGUUAAGCAAUGUUGAGCCUGGUCAGUACCUAAAUGGGUGAUUGCUUGGGAAUACCAGGUGCUGUAAG